GGGGGAUAGUUUAAUUGGAAAAACGCCGUGGCCAAACAUCGGAAACGUAGGUUCGAGCCCUUACUCCUCCACCA
rnacentral:tRNA from 1 species